GUACACGCUGUGACUAGCAUAUCAAUAAGCGGAGGAAAAGAAACUAACAAGGAUUCCCCUAGUAACGGCGAGUGAAGCGGGAAGAGCUCAAAUUUGAAAUCUUAAAGGGUUUCCCUUUACGAAUUGUAGUUUAAAGAAGUGUUUUCUGUUGAGGUUUUGGUAAAAGUUCUUUGGAAUAGGACAUCAUAGAGGGUGAGAAUCCCGUAUUUGACCUUUACUUUCAACUUUGUGAUACACUUUCAAAGAGUCGGAUUGUUUGGGAAUGCAGUCCAAAAUGGGUGGUAAAUUUCAUCUAAAGCUAAAUAUUGGCGAGAGACCGAUAGCGAACGAGUACCGUGAGGGAAAGAUGAAAAGAACUUUGAAAAGAGAGUUAAACAGUACGUGAAAUUGUCAAAAGGGAAGCGUUUGACACCAGUGUUGUUUUUCUGAAAAUCAAUUAAAGAACUGUUUAUGCUAAGCUGUUUAGACUUUAUCAGCUAACUGUUUAGUUUUGAGCUUUUCUUUAAUGCACUUUUCAGUUAACAAGUCAACAUCAAUUUCUUUUGCUGUAAAAAAGCUUGAGGAAGGUGGCUUGAGAUUCGUCUUAAGUGUUUAUAGCCUCUUGCCUAUGCAGUCGGAGAGAUUGAGGUCUGCAGCGUAGAUCCUUCGGGGCUAAAUGCAUUUGUGCUAAGUUAUAGCAUUUUAUAGACAACUUGUUGACUAUGAUUUGUCUUGUAGCUUACUCGCUUAUGUUAUUUUACCUACGCUUAGGAUGUUGACGCGCGUGUGUGCGUG
rnacentral:rRNA from 1 species